GGCAAAGGCAGAUGGAUCUCUGUGACAUCAAGGCCAGCUUGACCUACAUGGUCAUCUGCCCAGUGAAAUAAGAACCCAGGCCAUAUUGCUAAUAAACAGAUGUCAAGAACUGUCUCUCCACAUCUCAGGAUGUUAGUUCAGAAACAGAGAUGGACAAGAAAAUGGCUAUUUAGAGGGUAAAAGUAGCCUGAGAUAAG